rnacentral:rRNA from 1 species
AUUGAACGCUGGCGGCAGGCCUAACACAUGCAAGUCGAACGGUAACAGGGAUCAGCUUGCUGAUUCGCUGACGAGUGGCGGACGGGUGAGUAAUGUCUGGGAAACUGCCUGAUGGAGGGGGAUAACUACUGGAAACGGUAGCUAAUACCGCAUAACGUCGCACGACCAAAGAGGGGGCCCUUCGGGCCUCUUGCCAUCGGAUGUGCCCAGAUGGGAUUAGCUAGUAGGUGGGGUAACGGCUCACCUAGGCGACGAUCCCUAGCUGGUCUGAGAGGAUGACCAGCCACCCUGGAACUGAGACACGGUCCAGACUCCUACGGGAGGCAGCAGUGGGGAAUAUUGCACGAUGGGCGCAAGCCUGAUGCAGCCAUGCCGCGUGUAUGAAGAAGGCCUUCGGGUUGUAAAGUACUUUCAGCGGGGAGGAAGGGAGUAAAGUUAAUACCUUUGCUCAUUGACGUUACCCGCAGAAGAAGCACCGGCUAACUCCGUG